rnacentral:rRNA from 1 species
GAUGAACGCUGGCGGCGUGCCUAAUACAUGCAAGUCGAACGAACAGAUGAGGAGCUUGCUCCUCUGACGUUAGCGGCGGGCGUGUGAGUAACACGUGGAUAACCUCCCUAUCAGACUGGUAUAACUUCGGGAAACCGGCUCUAAUACCGGAUAAUAUAUUGAACCCAAUGGGUCUAUAGUGAAAGGCGGUUUUGCUGUCGCUUAUAGAUGGGUCCUCGCCGCAUUAGCGAGUUGGUAAGGUAACGGCUUACCAAGGCAACGAUGCGUAGACGAACUGAGAGGGUGAUCGGCCACACUGUAACUGAGACACGGUCCAGACUCCUACGGGAGGCAGCAGUAGGGAAUCUUCGGCAAUGGGCGAAAGCCUGACGGAGCAACGCCGCGUGAGUGAUGAAGGUCUUCGGAUCGUAAAACUCUGUUAUUAGGGAAGAACAAAUGUGUAAGUAACUAUGCACGUCUUGACGGUACCGAAUCAGAAAGCCACGGCUAACUACGUG